UGGCAACUGGCGGCGGGCCUUUGGCCAUGUGCGACCAUGAGGCGGGUUUACUUCCUUACAAAAUAAUAUGCUGGAGAUGAGUCUUCAUUGCUUAGAGCUUGCUUGCAGACAAGAUCAAGUUUAAGUAAUUGAAGGUAGCUGGCAACUCAUCUGACAGCAUAUCCUAUUCAGAUGCAAAAUCCAAACUGCAUGGUGAUGAUUGACAAUUGUUAUGGUCGUCUUCUGCCAGGUGAGCUGAGAUCCUCAAUUCACAUGUAAUUUUCACUGAUGGUCCUUGCGUCGUUUGAUCUCUUAUUUGCUCUGUUAUGUGCAAGUGGUUCAAGUGAGUACUCAAUCUGGUGCUGAAAAUCAAGUAAUCACGAGCUACUUGUUUUAGCUUUAUAUUCUGCUAGCACUAGUUUAUUGUAGUGUUUUCACGAGCUUUGGACAGCUGCAAGCUUCUAGCUUUCUUGUGCAUCUCUGUUAUCUGUAUCCAGAAGCAAAUUAGAUGGCCAAGCUCAGCUAAUGUUAAUUUGUGAAAGGUCUUUUCUUGCAAUAAUGAAAGUACUGCUUGCUCAAUGAUAUUACUUAUUUAUCUUUUU